rnacentral:rRNA from 1 species
AGAGUUUGAUCCUGGCUCAGGACGAACGCUGGCGGCGUGCUUAACACAUGCAAGUCGAACGCUGAAGCCCAGCUUGCUGGGUGGAUGAGUGGCGAACGGGUGAGUAACACGUGAGUAACCUGCCCCCUUCUUUGGGAUAACGCCCGGAAACGGGUGCUAAUACUGGAUAUUCACUGGCCUUCGCAUGGGGGUUGGUGGAAAGGUUUUUUCUGGUGGGGGAUGGGCUCGCGGCCUAUCAGCUUGUUGGUGGGGUGAUGGCCUACCAAGGCUUUGACGGGUAGCCGGCCUGAGUGGGUGACCGGUCACAUUGGGACUGAGAUACGGCCCAGACUCCUACGGGAGGCAGCAGUGGGGAAUAUUGCACAAUGGGCGAAAGCCUGAUGCAGCGACGCCGCGUGAGGGAUGACGGCCUUCGGGUUGUAAACCUCUUUCGCUCAUGGUCAAGCCGCAGCUUUGGGUUGUGGUGAGGGUAGUGGGUAAAGAAGCGCCGGCUAACUACGUGCCAGCAGCCGCGGUAAUACGUAGGGCGCGAGCGUUGUCCGGAAUUAUUGGGCGUAAAGGGCUUGUAGGCGGUUGGUCGCGUCUGCCGUGAAAUCCUCUGGCUUAACUGGGGGCGUGCGGUGGGUACGGGCUGACUUGAGUGCGGUAGGGGAGACUGGAACUCCUGGUGUAGCGGUGGAAUGCGCAGAUAUCAGGAAGAACACCGGUGGCGAAGGCGGGUCUCUGGGCCGUUACUGACGCUGAGGAGCGAAAGCGUGGGGAGCGAACAGGAUUAGAUACCCUGGUAGUCCACGCUGUAAACGUUGGGC